rnacentral:lncRNA from 1 species
GCUUUUUUAUACAACUCAGGACCACCCCACACAGUCACAGGGUGGGCUGGGCUAUCCUGCAUCAAUCAAUCAAGAAAACGCCCCACAGAUUUGCCUGCAGGCCAAUCUGAUGGGGGACAAUUUUCAGUUGACAUUUGCUCUUUCCCGAUGAACCUGGCUGUGUCAACCAGCCCAAAGUCAGUACUUAAAAAUAAGCUUGGAGCAAUCACUGAGGCAGGAGUAGAAUUAGCUGCAAUUGCUAACAAGACCAAACGUUAAAAGAAUCAUAAAAACCAACAAUAGCUCCUGCUGAUUGAGUGGCCGCCAAGCGCGAGGCUCCGUGCCAAGUUCCUCAUGUUAAUGUGUUGCGCAUCUCAUGAUGAAUCUGUGGGACUACCCUGAGGCUUUACUCAAAGCCAUGCUACCCCUCCCCCUCCGUUACCAGACAAACCCCACAGGAAGGAGCAGUGUGUAAGAAGACAGCCCAGGGGAGACACAACCUACAGAGUCAACUUCCUUCUCCCCAGCAAUGAGCCCAGUGCCUGGCGAGAUGAAGUCACUCACAAUUGUCUGCAGAAAGAAUGUAAAGUAAGAUGUUGAGAGAGAAAAUUUCAAUACGGUUCACUCUGCACAGUGGCCCCAAACUUGUUCUCGCUUUGUGCCCCCUGCAAGCUUUUGGUGUAUAAAUUAUACUUUUGUAACUUGGAGAAAAUAUACACGACCACGGUGUCCAAAGUACCUAGAGAGCAAUUUAGAGGAGAAAAUAUUUAUUUAUUUUAUCUGCGGACCCCUGAGAGGUCAGUCCAUGGUCAUGUGACCCCAUGCACUUUACAGGGCUUCCUGGAAGCAGAACCCUGUAGGAGAGGGUCCACCACAAGUCUUUUUCAGGAGAUGUUAAGACCAAUGUCUGUCCCAAAGUCAUGCAGCAGUUGCCACCUGCUCAGGGACCCUGACGGUCUCAGCAGGUGCUCUUCAGCCCGUAGGAAGCGUGGUUGUCUUUCUGAAAGCUCGGAUGUAGACUGAACGGUGAAAGCUGAAUGCUGCUUGAGCUGCCAGAGACGCACGUUGAAAAGACAACGAGCCCGUCCGAACAGACUGCCGGUUUUAUAACCGCAAGGCCCAUGUUGUCCUCGUUUAUAUGUUGUUGCUGUUCUCACGUGAGUCCAAGAUUUACAGAAUGUGAUGCUCCAGUGAAAGCUGCCCACCCACCAAAAAACACUUUCAGAGAAAUCUCAACUGCAAAGCCAUCCUACAAGCUCUUCAGAGCCAGUGCUUAGGCUUGGUGGCUGCUGACUCCAGGAACAGGAGUUCACAUACAUAGUGGC